GCUCUUUCCAACGACCUGCGCGACCCCUAUAUCCCCUCUCGCCGGGGUACGCCCCGGCUAUGGUGAUAAAUUGUAUCGUGUUUGACGCAACGGACCCGGGGGCAGCACCCGGCGGCUCCACCAAAACCCGCCCGAAAGGACGGGCUCUGACGGGGCCGAAGUAGGAUCGACGUGUGUACGAGUGCGGUAUUUUUGCCCGGCGUGAUUGAGCCGUUAAACCGAUCAAAACCACAAGUGCCAACGAUAACGAGGCGCUCGCGAUUGCCGCGUAAUCAAGGCCUAACGGCUUAGAUUACAAGGCUUGAACGCGGUUCGGGCCGAACCGGGCAACAGAAUCGGAUUCCG
rnacentral:tmRNA from 1 species